rnacentral:ncRNA from 9 species
AACAAGGUUUCCGUAGGUGAACCUGCGGAAGGAUC